rnacentral:rRNA from 1 species
AUUGAACGCUGGCGGCAGGCCUAACACAUGCAAGUCGAGCGGAUGAAGGGAGCUUUCUCCUGGAUUCAGCGGCGGACGGGUGAGUAAUGCCUAGGAAUCUGCCUGGUAGUGGGGGAUAACGUCCGGAAACGGGCGCUAAUACCGCAUACGUCCUGAUGGAGAAAGUGGGGGAUCUUCGGACCUCACGCUAUCAGAUGAGCCUAGGUCGGAUUAGCUAGUUGGUGGGGUAAAAGCCUACCAAGGCGACGAUCCGUAACUGGUCUGAGAGGAUGAUCAGUCACACUGGAACUGAGACACGGUCCAGACUCCUACGGGAGGCAGCAGUGGGGAAUAUUGGACAAUGGGCGAAAGCCUGAUCCAGCCAUGCCGCGUGUGUGAAGAAGGUCUUCGGAUUGUAAAGCACUUUAAGUUGGGAGGAAGGGCAGUAAGUUAAUACCUUGCUGUUUUGACGUUACCAACAGAAUAAGCACCGGCUAACUUCGUG